GGGCAUGUGGUGUAGUUGGUUAUCACGCUCGCUUAGCAUUCAUGAGUGAGCUUGCGAGAGGGGUCCGGUUCAAUCCCGGACAUGUCCA